rnacentral:rRNA from 1 species
GACGAACGCUGGCGGCGUGCUUAACACAUGCAAGUCGAACGGAAAGGCCCUGCUUUUGUGGGGUGCUCGAGUGGCGAACGGGUGAGUAACACGUGAGUAACCUGCCCUUGACUUUGGGAUAACUUCAGGAAACUGGGGCUCAUACCGGAUAGGAGCUCCUGCUGCAUGGUGGGGGUUGGAAAGUUUCGGCGGUUGGGGAUGGACUCGCGGCUUAUCAGCUUGUUGGUGGGGUAGUGGCUUACCAAGGCUUUGACGGGUAGCCGGCCUGAGAGGGGGACCGGCGACAUGAGGACUGAGGUACGGCCCAGACGCCAAUGGGAGGCAGCAGUGGGGAGUAUUGCACAAUGGGCGGAAGCCUGAUGCAGAGACGCCGGGUGCGGGAUGCCGGCUUUCGGGUUGUAAACCGCUUUGGCCUGUGACGAAGCGGGAGUGACGGUAAUGGGUAAAGAAGCACCGGCUAACUACGUG